GUUGCGGGACUGGGUCACGUGACAGGCCUUGCGCAGCAGCGACUCCAGGAACAGCUCCAGGGCCCGCGCUGGGACGCUAAGGACGGACAGGUGUGCAGGGACAGACAGACAGGUGUGCAGGGACAGACAGGUGUGCAGGGAUGGACAGACAGGUGUGCAGGGACGGACAGGUGUGCAGGGACAGACAGGUGUGCAGGGACGGACAGACAGGUGUGCAGGGAUGGACAGACAGGUGUGCAGGGACGGACAGACAGGUGUGCAGGGAUGGACAGACAGGUGUGCAGGGACGGACAGACAAGUGUGCAGGGACAGACAGGUGUGCAGGGAUAGACAGACAGGUGUGCAGGGACAGACAGGUGUGCAGGGACGGACAGACAGGUGUGCAGGGACGGACAGACAGGUGUGCAGGGGACACCCACAGGUGCACAGGGGACACCCCCAGGGACGCAGGGGACACCCACAGCUGAGCAGGGGACACCCACAGGUGCGCAGGGGACACCCACAGGGACACGCCAGGUGCGCAGGGGACACCCCCCAGGUGUCCAGGAUGGGCAGACUCAGGUGUCACAGGUAGGAGCACCUGGGAGGGCUGAGCUGUGCAGGUUGGGGGUGCCCAGGUGAGCAGGGUGAGGUCACAGGGGUGCCCAGGUAUGCAGGGAGGGGUCCCAAAGGUGCCCAGGUGUGCAGGGUGGUGUCCCAGGUGUGCCCAGGUGUGCCAGA